CUGAUCCUGAAUCAUGCCGAGAACAUCAGCUGAAAGUGAAGUUGCUCCAGACAGAGCUGAAGAAGCUGGCAGAAAGUCUAGAGGAGCUGAGGGAACAUUGUCCUGGUAGUCGCUGCAGUGCACCUGUGGAUCUGAUGCUGGGACAUCUGUGGAGGUGUUGGGCUGUGCUGAAGAACAGAGUGGAAGCACUUGAAGCCAGCACAUCCCAUAAAGAAGCAGAGUGGAGAGAUUUCAUGAUUCGGCUUAAUAAGUCAAAAGAAGGUCUUGACAGACUUCAGACUGAUCUCCCAGACUCGUCACUGCUGACGGGAUC